rnacentral:lncRNA from 1 species
UUCUCAGCACCUCUCCUCCUUCCAGCAGAGUGGAAAAAUUACUACUCUCUCUAAAAAUCUAUCCUUCUGUCCUUUAUUUCUAUCUAUUUAUCCGUUAUUACAUAUAAUAAGUAAAGAAAUCUAUAUAUAUAUAUAUUAUAUAUAGAGUAUUUGUUUGUUGUUGUAUAACAGAUUGUUAGGACGGCGUAGAAAUAUUUGACGAUUUGCAAGGUAUGCAGCCUGAAAAGACGGUGCUGAGUUUGAGACCUGGAGGAGGUACCCGCGGUGGAAGCAGAGUUUUCGGUCCCCGUUUCGAGGCGGCAGCGGCCAAUUCUGAUCUCCCUGUGUUGCGUCCCCAUGGCGGUGGCGGCGCUCCUUCCUUAAAGGUUGAUUUUUUUAAUGCUGCUUGUUCAGAUCUAGGGGUUUUGAAUCUAAAUUGUGAUUUAAGCUUUUGGUUUUCCGGAUGUUGUUUUGUAUAGCUGUUUGUUUAUGAUGUGUAUAGUCAUAUGAGCGUGUUAUUUGUAUAUAUCUUUUUAACGACCGGUGUGUAAACUGUAAAGCUCUGACUUUAUACUUUUUGUUUACUUUUAUUUUUAACUGAAUUUUGUGUCUCUUGUUCCGUUGAAUCAACAUAUCUGUAGACACACACUUGUUCAUACUCGUAUCCGAGUACUUGUGUUCACGUGUUAUUAGUUUACGAAUUGUAAUUAAAGCUAUCGAUUUUUUAUUGCUCUCUUUUAACUGAAUUUUGUGCUGUAUUAUUCUGUUGAACACACACACACACAUCUCUACACGGAUGCUAAUUCAACAGAAUAAUACAGCACAAUAUAUAUGGCAUAUAAUCCCUUUCGGGAAACCACCUUUGAAGUGAAAUUCCCGGAGGUUUUUGGUCAUAUUCCAUCGGUGUUAGAGCUAACAGACCAACAGGGAAUUCAUGACUCUUCUUUAUCACUGCAACCCAGCUUUAACUGUUCUGGGCUUUUGACCGUAGCACCAAGGUCUGCUGUUUUCUUAAUUGCUACUUGCUAGGAAUAUUUGAAGUCUAGAUCUUUUUUUUGUUGUAGUGCUCCAUUGAAACAUCUGAAUUGAUGCGUGUCUAUGUGUUCACAUUCUCAGAAUAUUUAUGGUUUUUAUUUCGGUUUUUAUUUCUAACUAAACUUAGCAAUACUUUGCACGCGUAGUUGUGUUUUGCUGCUUGUGAAUUAUAAUGGUUUAUGUGCUCUGGAAUAUUAAAGAGCUGAUAUUUAGAUAUCAAUUAAGUUUUCAAUUAUUUCUCCUUAUUCUAGAGACUUUAAAAAGGUUAUGUCGUAUAUGUAUUUCUUGGGGACUUAAGUGAAAGCUUUAGUUUUUCAAAAAUUAUUUUGCUUGUUUUUGAUCUUAAAAAGGUGUAUAGAAUGGGAGUUAUAUAUGACAUCUUAACUCUUGAUAGUACAUUUAAGGUGUGUAGUUGCUGUAAAUAUGAACCUAAAGUAAGAUAUAAGUUCCGGGUGAGAAUACAAGGAGUAUUAGUCCAUAAAGAAACAAGUUGAUAUGGAGGCUGCACUUGGUGGUUUUGCUUGAUGUUUUGGUACUUUUUGUAGCAUGAAAUAUGAAAUAUGUGUUGCAGGUUCUUACCACAUUCUGAUAAAUGGGGUAGACGUCUGUACUAACCGCACAUUUGAGGCUCAUCUAGUUACUUGUUGCAAUUUAUAAUACUUCGACGCAGAAGAAGUUUCCUUUGCUUGAAAUGUGAAUUUUCUUAGAACCUGAUUAUUUGCAAAAUUACGAGGGUUGCUUUCAAAUGUCGGUCGAAAAUGGUCAUAUCAUAACCUUCCCAAGUCUUUGGGCAUCUUGUGUUUACAGUAUCCACCACUAUAUAUGGUAAAGUUUGCUUCAUAGAUCACUAUUCUUCAUCAUUUUUUGCAAGCUCAUGAUGGUAUAUAUUUUCUUUGGCCAGUUUUUAUGGCCAUUUUAAGGUGUUUACCACUCUGUUUUUAAAAUAAAUCACAAUGACACUUUUGAUUAGUAAUCUGUGUUUCAGUCACAUGUUAGACUGAUUGUUUAAUAUUGCUGUUGAUUGCUAUUGAAUUCUUUUCUUUUAAUUAUAUUACAGACUGGCAAAUUCCAAUUUGAAGGCCGUGAGCGGAUCCAUUAUACCCGAGAACAGCUGCUGCUGCUAAAGGAGGUAAUGCUGCUUCUUAACAUACUUCACGUUUAGUAGUUUUAGUAAUUUUUUCCAUAUUAGAUUGGUUCACAUCUUUCCAGAUUAUGUUUUAUCAUUAAUUCUGGUGGCUUUGGCGUCAUAAACACUGCUUAAAGUUGAAUUUAAAUGAUCUCUCUUUAUUUCUGUAUCUAUUUGCGUUGUUUAUGUUGUUGUCUUUGCAGUGUCCGUGUAAUUUGUUCCUGCAUAUACCGCUAGGCAUUAGUUGAGGCUGAUUCUUUUAUUCUUAUUUGCUCAUGGGCCAUUUUUCUUCAGUGAUGGAGUGAUGCGUUUUGCUGUUAGUUACAUUAUUUUUUCAUUGAGUAAUCCUUUCAACUGUCGCAUACAGCAUCCCUUAGAUCUGUUACUUUUAUUUCAUACAACCUUUUUGUGUGUACAUGUAGUUAUAUUGUGUUUUUCACUAUCUUCGGGAUUUAUCGACUAUUGUAUGCAUUCUUCGACAGUGCCAUUAAUUGAUUUCCUGGAGUCUGAUAGGGCUGAUCCUUUGUAGGUGGUCAACAUCUCUGAGGAAAUUCUGAAGGUUAAACAAGAAGUUGAAGCUGAGUUUUCUAGUGUUGAUCCAAGCUGGGGUCACGGAGAAAGCAAUGUGAGUUUGUCUGGACUUGAUCACAAAAACAUCUGUCUUUCCUAUUUUAGCCAAAAUGCUACAACUAUUUUGUGGGGUUCUUGUUCAUUCAUUUUUUUUUGUUUUUUUUUGUUUUUGUUUCUUGAGUAUACAUUUGUAUACAUCUUUUUGCAGUUUAUAGAAAUUGGUGGAGGCCAUUAAUUCAUGCUUUUUUCCUGGUUGCAUCCUUUGAUGAUAAAUAAUAGGCUAUGAUUUGCUUUUUAUAGGUUCCAAAUCAGGCUCAAGGUCGUUAUUCUGAAACAGAAAACCGUGACUGGCGGAAUCGGCCUGCACAAUUUCCUGUUACUGGAGAGGAGAGAUCCUGGGAAGCUAUUCGAGACAGAGACUUUGGUGGCCGGUUUGAUUCUAGGCAACAAGAAGUAAACCAAUACAGUAGGCAAGAGCAGCUGAGCUUGCAGUUUGUAAGAUCUCAAAACCAAGGGGUAAUUAAAGAAAAUCCUUGAUACUGGUGUUUUCCUGCACUUAAUCUUUGUUAUUGAGUGCCUGUGUGAACUAAAAGCAUGUUUGACAAGUGUUUAUAACGGUUUAAAUUAUAAAUAUACAGAAAUGAGUUUUGUUAAAUGGAUAGUAGUUAUGUGUACCUCGAAAUGUGUGGAUAAUGAGUGUGAGGGUUUGUAAUAUACAUAACUCAAACAUAGGCUUAAGUACCUGAUUCAAAUCAACAAGCUAUCAUAUCCUUUUCUUUUGUAAAAUAUAGAAAAAAGUUAGUAAAGUUUCAUGAAAUCUUGCAUAUACUAUUUGUUAUAUCAGAAGAUACUGUUUUAUUACAAUUCAAUAUCACUGGAAUUGUUUGUUAAAAAUGUCAAUGCUUCCAAAACAUGCUGAUGGCAUAGCCUCGAAGGCUUAAAAUUUGACACACUGGUCAUCUAAUCAAAUCAGUUGCACAUUCGAUAAAGAUCAAAUUAUCUUGUGUUGGCUCAUCCUCAAGAUAAUAUGGUUACCACGAUCUUAAGGUAUUGCUGUUUUUGUGUGAUGAUGAAAUUUUAGACAGUGAAAAACAGGAAUUUUGUGGUCUGGCAAUUUGGAUUCAAUUUUGUCUUUUUGUUCUGGCAGUGGUAGGAUUGAGUAUUGAGAUCUGUGAUAUUCUCAGAACUUAAUGUCCAUGUAAAAGCUGAAAGUUUGAGAAAGCAGAAGACUUGGAGAACAAAGGGGAGAACAAAGGAAUCUCGGCAUCAUGUUGGAUCCGAUCUUAUAAAUCCUGAAGAAUGCUUAAACCUUUGGAAAUCUUCAAAGAAGCUUCUACUUUACAAUCGAAAACUUACUAAAAUAUGCACACACUUUGAGCUUUAGCUAAUAUUGAAAACCACUCUUAGUGGGAUACUAACUUUUUCACCAGAUCAUUUUUUUUUAUCAUUGAGGAUUAUUAAAAGCAAAACUUGUUUCACAAAGCUAUAGUGGAAUACUUGUUUAUGUCGUGUGGUAUAUUUGGGAAGUGCGGUCAUGUAAUGUUUUGUUUAAAAGAAAAUGAAUAAUUUUUUUUUUUUUUUUGUCUAUGAAACAGGGAGGAUCUACUCCUGCUCUAAUCAAGGCUGAGGUGCCAUGGUCUGCUCGAAGGGGACAUCUUUCUGAGGAGGAGCGUGUAUUGAAGACAGUGAAGGGGUAUUUUAUUUUGUUUAAGCUACUCUUAUGGAAUGCUCAUAAUGUCAUUAUGGAUUUUUAAUAAUCUAUUUUUGAUUACUUAAUCAUCAAGCUCAAAAUUUUCAAACCACCUUGGUGUUAUUAUAACAGUUCUAGCCUUGAUCUGUCACCAGUGUGUUGUGCCUACUUGGCACUUGCCACUACUGUUGAGAUCCUUCAAGAACAACAUUUUUUUUGUGCGAACAUUUUGAAAAUACAUGACAAUGUUGAUUUGAUUGUUGCACUUUCUGACAGCACAUUGCUUGAUGUCCAAUGCAUUUACGGGCCUAGACUUCUAGUUUUCGCAUUAUUUUGACAUGGUCCUUGUGUAAAGAAUUGAUGUCUGACCCUAUGUUCUUGUUGCAGUAUACUGAACAAGCUGACUCCUGAGAAAUUUGAUCUUUUAAAGGGUCAAUUGAUUGACUCUGGGAUCACAACGCCUGAUAUCUUAGAGGUCCUAGUUUUAACACUAAUGCCUGCAUGGCAACGUAUUUUCUUCUUUAAUUUGCGUUGCAUAUUCUUACCUAGAGCUUAUGUUGUCUUUCAUUUCCGUGCAGGGAGUCAUCUCCUUGAUAUUUGACAAGGCUGUGCUGGAGCCCACAUUUUGCCCAAUGUAUGCGCUUCUUUGUUCUGAUCUAAAGGAGAAGCUCCCUAACUUCCCUUCUGAUGAGCCUGGCGGAAAAGAAAUCACAUUCAAACGAAUCCUUUUGAAUAACUGUCAAGAGGCAUUUGAAGGGGCUGACAAAUUGAGGGAAGAGGUUAGGCAGAUGAAUGCUCCUGAGCAAGAAUCAGAACGAAGAAAUAAGGAAAGGUUGGUCAAACUCCGUACACUUGGAAACAUCCGUCUAAUUGGGGAGCUUUUGAAGCAGAAGAUGGUUCCAGAGAAGAUUGUUCAUCACAUUGUGCAGGUUCUCUGUCUCCCUCUCUCAUGUGCACGAUGUGCACACUCACCCAGUGGCACGCAUGUGUACCCUAGUUCUCACCCUUAGUACCCUCUCUUCCUGAUGACAUUAUUUCUCUAGUUGUUAUUUCUACAUUUUUUCGUCUCAUAAUUUACUAGAUUAUCUUGCGUAACAUGGGUUUUGUGAACAGCAACUCUUAGGACAUGAUACCAAGAGUUGUCCAGCAGAGGAGAAUGUUGAGGCCAUAUGUCAGUUCUUUCACACCAUUGGUAAACAGCUCGACGAGAACCAAAAAUCCAAGCGUAUAAAUGACAUGUAUUUCAAUCACCUGAAGGAAUUAUCAACAAACUCUCAGCUAGCCGCACGACUGAAGUUUAUGAUUCGUGAUGUUAUUGAUUUGCGUGCAAAUAAUUGGAUUCCCAGACGGGAAGAGGUGAGCCUUCAGAGCAUAUAAGUGACCUUCUUCACGCUCAUUGCUGUUAAAAGGUCUCAUGAUGUCCCACCCUUAUGUUGCAGGUGAAAGCCAAAACCAUCACUGAGAUCCACUCGGAAGCUGAGAAGAAUCUGGGCUUACGUCCAGGUGCUACUGCUAGCAUUAGAAAUAGCCGACCUGCUUCCGGCUCUCAAGGUAGUAUUAGCCCAGGUGGCUUCCCAAUUAAUCGGCCCGGUGCUGGUGGUAUGAUGCCCGGAAUGCCUGGAGCAAGAAAGAUGCCUGGGAUGCCUGGAAUGGACAAGGACAACUGGGAAGUUCCAAGGUCUCGGUCAAUGCCAAGAGGCGAUGGUUCAACAGCUCCUGCUGGCCGUGUUCAACCACCACUAUUUGACAAGUCUCCAUCACCUAUCCAGGGAUCUCUACCUCAAGGUAGUGGUGUUUUCAUGAUUGGUAGAACUACUGUCCUCUCGCAAGGGAGUGGUGUGCCCCCUCCAUCUCGUGCAGCUGAUUAUGGAGGAUUUGGUAUGGAAACUGUAUCUCAAGCCCCUGCUCCAUUUAGACAGGCUACGCCACCAUCAAUUGCACCAGUUAAUGACAAGCCGGUGGCUCCUGCCCAGUUUUUGAAUGCAGAUGAACUCGAGAGAAAAACGGAUUCUCUACUGGAGGAAUAUUUUGGCAUCCGACUUGUGGAUGAAGCGUUACAAUGUAUAGAGGAGUUGAAGUCGCCCUCUUACCAUCCUGAAAUUGUCAAGGCAGCCAUUUCCCUUGGAUUGGAGAAAAGCCCUCCAUGUGUUGAGCCAGUAACAAAACUUCUCGAAUACUUGUUGGCCAAGAAAGUCCUUACUCCGAAGGACAUAGCCACCGGAUGCCGCCUCUACAGUGCAUUGUUGGAUGAUCUCGCCAUUGAUUUACCAAAAGCUCCAGAAAAUUUUGGGGAGAUUAUUGGGGGCCUCGUUUUGGCCGGUGCCUUGGACUUCAAGAUUGUCGUAGAAAUCCUGAAAACAAUAAGCGACGGCUACUUCCGAAAAGCAGUAUUCUCCUCCAUAAAGAAGAUUUUAAGCUCAAGCCCUGCUGGAAAGGGAAUAUUGGAUUCACAAGCAUCUGAUAUUGAUUCCUACCAAAGCUUAUUUUAGAGCUUCUUCUAUACGUUGUUCUUGGAGGUAAUUAAGAGAGAGAGAGAGAGUCAUGGCAUAAAAUAUUUUUGCUCUUGGGUCUGCUGUGGCAUAAUCAUUGGGCAAUGGAGCCCCGAUAAUUGAAGGGGUCCUUUAUAUGACCCACAGUUGUUUUUGUAUUUCAUUAGUUUUUUAUUUCUUUGCUGAGUUGACUUGAGAAGUUUUGUCAAACUUUGUGAGUUCAUAAUGUUCGCAUAAUUUCCAUUUUCCAAUGAAGAAUGCUACGGUAUACUAAUUUGUUUUAAUUGUUCUGUCAAAAAUUUAUGACCCCUCUGGGAGUUUUGAAGUUUAUUUACAUUAAU